UACGUAGGGUGCGAGCGUUAAUCGGAUUUACUGGGCGUAAAGCGUGCGCAGGCGGCCCGUUAAGACAGGUGUGAAAUCCCUGGGCUCAACCUAGGAAUUGCGCUUGUGACUGGCGGGCUCGAGUACGGUAGAGGGGGGUGGAAUUCCUGGUGUAGCAGUGAAAUGCGUAGAGAUCAGGAGGAACACCGAUGGCGAAGGCAGCCCCCUGAGCCUGUACUGACGCUCAUGCACGAAAGCGUGGGGAGCAAACAGG
rnacentral:rRNA from 1 species